AGUGAACGCUGGCGGUAGGCCUAACACAUGCAAGUCGAACGGCAGCACAGGAGAGCUUGCUCUCUGGGUGGCGAGUGGCGGACGGGUGAGGAAUACAUCGGAAUCUACUCUGUCGUGGGGGAUAACGUAGGGAAACUUACGCUAAUACCGCAUACGACCUACGGGUGAAAGCAGGGGACCUUCGGCCUUGCGCGAUUGAAUGAGCCGAUGUCGGAUUAGCUAGUUGGCGGGGUAAAGGCCCACCAAGGCGACGAUCCGUAGCUGGUCUGAGAGGAUGAUCAGCCACACUGGGAACUGAGACACGGUCCAGACUCCUACGGGAGGCAGCAGUGGGGAAUAUUGGACAAUGGGCGCAAGCCUGAUCCAGCCAUACCGCGUGGGUGAAGAAGGCCUUCGGGUUGUAAGCCCUUUUGUUGGGAAAGAAAUCCAGCUGGCUAAUACCCGGUUGGGAUGACGGUACCAAAGAAUAAGCACCGGCUAACUUCGUGCCAGCAGCCGCGGUAAUACGAAGGGUGCAAGCGUUGACUCGGAAUUACUGGGCGU
rnacentral:rRNA from 1 species